rnacentral:rRNA from 1 species
GAUGAACGCUGGCGGCGUGCCUAAUACAUGCAAGUCGAGCGAACAGAUAAGGAGCUUGCUCCUUUGACGUUAGCGGCGGACGGGUGAGUAACACGUGGGUAACCUACCUAUAAGACUGGGAUAACUUCGGGAAACCGGAGCUAAUACCGGAUAAUAUUUCGAACCGCAUGGUUCGAUAGUGAAAGAUGGUUUUGCUAUCACUUAUAGAUGGACCCGCGCCGUAUUAGCUAGUUGGUAAGGUAACGGCUUACCAAGGCGACGAUACGUAGCCGACCUGAGAGGGUGGAGGGCCACAAGGGAGGAGAGGCACGUACCAGACUCCUACGGGAGGCAGCAGUAGGGAAUGUUCGUCAAAGGGCGAAAGCUUGACAGAGUAGUGUAGAGUGAGAGAUGAAAGUCUUAGGAUCUGAAGACUGUGUUAGCAGUAACGAACAUACAGGCAAGGGCCAGUGCAGGGCGAGAAGGGACGUAAACAGAAAGGCAAGGCGAAAGAAGUG